CUUUCCCCUUUUUCUCCUUCUCUAUAGUCCGGGAGGACUGGAAUGUUCUCCGGAUGAAAGAUCCGUCGCUUCAGGAUGAGUCUGCGGCCGAUUAGGUAGUUGUUGGGGUAAAAGCCCAACAAGCCUGUAAUCGGUACGGGUUGUGGGAGCAAGAGCCCGGAGAUGGAUUCUGAGACACGAAUCCAGGCCCUACGGGGCGCAGCAGGCGCGAAAACUUUACAAUGCGGGCAACCGUGAUAAGGAAACCCCGAGUGCCACCACAGGGUGGCUGUCCACCAGUGUAAAAAACUGGUGAAGAAAGGGCCGGGCAAGACCGGUGCCAGCCGCCGCGGUAACA
rnacentral:rRNA from 1 species